rnacentral:rRNA from 1 species
AUUGAACGCUGGCUGCAGGCCUAACACAUGCAAGUCGGGCGAGCGGCGGACGGGUGAGUAAUGUAUGGGGACUGCCUGAUGGAGGGGGAUAACUACUGGAAACGGUAGCUAAUACCGCAUACCAUCAGAUAACCCAUAUGGGAUUAGGUAGUAGGUGAGGUAACGGCUCACCUAGGCGACGAUCCCUAGCUGGUCUGAGAGGAAGAUCGGCCAAACUGGGAGUAAGAGAGGGACGAGACACAUACGGAGGCAGGAGGGGGGAAUAUUGCACAGUGGGCGGAAGCCUGAUGCAGCCAUGCCGGGUGUAUGAAGAAGGCCGUCGGGUUGUAAAGUACUUUCAGUCGGGAGACGUAACCGACGGAAAAAGCACCGGCUAACUCCGUCCCAGCAGCGGGGGUAAAC